rnacentral:tRNA from 1 species
GGGGUUGUGGCUCAGUGGUAGAGCACGUGCCUCUCAUGUGUGAGGCACUGGGUUCAAUCCUCAACACCA